rnacentral:rRNA from 1 species
AACAAACGCUGGCGGCGUGCCUAAUACAUGCAAGUCGAACGGGGAAAGCUUUCGGGUGAGUACUAGUGGCGCACGGGUGAGUAACGCGUGGAUAAUCUGCCUUAGAGUGGGGGAUAACUAGUCGAAAGAUUAGCUAAUACCGCAUAAGACCACAAGAACUGCGGUUCAAGAGGUCAAAGGUUUUUCGCUCUAAGAUGAGUCCGCGUAAGAUUAGCUAGUUGGUGAGGUAACGGCUCACCAAGGCAACGAUCUUUAACUGGUCUGAGAGGAUGAUCAGUCACACUGGAACUGAGACACGGUCCAGACUCCUACGGGAGGCAGCAGUAGGGAAUAUUGCACAAUGGAGGAAACUCUGAUGCAGCGACGCCGCGUGAGUGAUGAAGGCCUUCGGGUCGUAAAGCUCUGUCGCAGGGGAAUAACACAAUGAAUGUACCCUGUAAGAAAGGAUCGGCCAACUACGUGCCAGCCGCCGCGGUAACAC